rnacentral:rRNA from 1 species
GAUGAACGCUGGCGGCGUGCCUAAUACAUGCAAGUCGAGCGAACGGACGAGAAGCUUGCUUCUCUGAUGUUAGCGGCGGACGGGUGAGUAACACGUGGAUAACCUACCUAUAAGACUUGGAUAACUUCGGGAAACCGGAGCUAAUACCGGAUAAUAUUUUGAACCGCAUGGUUCAAAAGUGAAAGACGGUCUUGCUGUCACUUAUAGAUGGAUCCGCGCUGCAUUAGCUAGUUGGUAAGGUAACGGCUUACCAAGGCAACGAUGCAUAGCCGACCUGAGAGGGUGAUCGGCCACACUGGAACUGAGACACGGUCCAGACUCCUACGGGAGGCAGAAGUAGGGAAUCUUCCGAAAUGGGCGAAAGCCUGAAGGAGCAACGCCGCGUGAGUGAUGAAGGUCUUCGGAUCGUAAAACUCUGUUAUUAGGGAAGAACAUAUGUGUAAGUAACUGUGCACAUCUUGACGGUACCUAAUCAGAAAGCCACGGCUAACUACGUG